CCUACGGGAGGCAGCAGUGGGGAAUUUUGGACAAUGGGCGCAAGCCUGAUCCAGCCAUGCCGCGUGUCUGAAGAAGGCCUUCGGGUUGUAAAGGACUUUUGUCAGGGAAGAAAAGGACAGGGUUAAUACCCCUGUCUGAUGACGGUACCUGAAGAAUAAGCACCGGCUAACUACGUGCCAGCAGCCGCGGUAAUACGUAGGGUGCGAGCGUUAAUCGGAAUUACUGGGCGUAAAGCGAGCGCAGACGGUUACUUAAGCAGGAUGUGAAAUCCCCGGGCUCAACCUGGGAACUGCGUUCUGAACUGGGUGACUAGAGUGUGUCAGAGGGAGGUAGAAUUCCACGUGUAGCAGUGAAAUGCGUAGAGAUGUGGAGGAAUACCGAUGGCGAAGGCAGCCUCCUGGGAUAACACUGACGUUCAUGCUCGAAAGCGUGGGUAGCAAACAGGAUUAGAUACCCUGGUAGUC
rnacentral:rRNA from 1 species